AGCGAACGCUGGCGGCAGGCCUAACACAUGCAAGUCGAACGAACUCUUCGGAGUCAGUGGCGGACGGGUGAGUAACACGUGGGAACGUGCCUUUAGGUUCGGAAUAACUCAGGGAAACUUGUGCUAAUACCGAAUGUGCCCUUCGGGGGAAAGAUUUAUCGCCUUUAGAGCGGCCCGCGUCUGAUUAGCUAGUUGGUGAGGUAAUGGCUCACCAAGGCGACGAUCAGUAGCUGGUCUGAGAGGAUGAUCAGCCACAUUGGGACUGAGACACGGCCCAAACUCCUACGGGAGGCAGCAGUGGGGAAUCUUGCGCAAUGGGCGAAAGCCUGACGCAGCCAUGCCGCGUGAAUGAUGAAGGUCUUAGGAUUGUAAAAUUCUUUCACCGGGGACGAUAAUGACGGUACCCGGAGAAGAAGCCCCGGCUAACUUCGUGUCAGCAGCCGCCGUAA
rnacentral:rRNA from 1 species